ensembl:snRNA U2 U2 spliceosomal RNA
ACACUUUUUUUUUUGAAAGAAAAAAUCUGUUCUUAUCAGUUUAAUACCUGAUUCGUCCUCCAUUUGAGGACUUUAUAUUAAACGGAUUUUUAGAGCGAGGAGCUAGAAGAGGGGCUUGCUCCAUCCGCUCUACUCAUCGACCUGGAAUGGUACACCUUUU